rnacentral:rRNA from 1 species
UACGAAGGGGGCUAGCGUUGCUCGGAAUCACUGGGCGUAAAGGGUGCGUAGGCGGGUCUUUAAGUCAGGGGUGAAAUCCUGGAGCUCAACUCCAGAACUGCCUUUGAUACUGAAGAUCUUGAGUUCGGGAGAGGUGAGUGGAACUGCGAGUGUAGAGGUGAAAUUCGUAGAUAUUCGCAAGAACACCAGUGGCGAAGGCGGCUUUCUGGACGGUAACUGACGCUGAGACGCGAAAGCGUGGGGAGCAAACAGG